UGGGGAAUAUUGGACAAUGGGCGAAAGCCUGAUCCAGCAAUGCCGCGUGAGUGAAGAAAGGCCUUCGGGUUGUAAAGCUCUUUUGUCAGGGAAGAAACGGUGAGAGCUAAUAUCUCUUGCUAAUGACGGUACCUGAAGAAUAAGCACCGGCUAACUACGUGC
rnacentral:rRNA from 1 species